rnacentral:rRNA from 1 species
GAUGAACGCUGGCGGCGUGCCUAAUACAUGCAAGUCGAGCGAACGGACGAGAAGCUUGCUUCUCUGAUGUUAGCGGCGGACGGGUGAGUAACACGUGGAUAACCUACCUAUAAGACUGGGAUAACUUCGGGAAACCGGAGCUAAUACCGGAUAAUAUUUUGAACCGCAUGGUUCAAAAGUGAAAGACGGUCUUGCUGUCACUUAUAGAUGGAUCCGCGCUGCAUUAGCUAGUUGGUAAGGUAACGGCUUACCAAGGCAACGAUGCAUAGCCGACCUGAGAGGGUGAUCGCCCACACUGGAACUGAGACACGGUCCAGACUCCUACGGGAGGCAGCAGUAGGGAAUCGUCCGCAAUGGGCGAAAGCAUGACGGAGCAACGCCGAGUGAGUGAUGAAGGUCUUCGGAUCGUAAAACUCUGUUAUUAGGGAAGAACAUAUGUGUAAGUAACUGUGCACAGCUUGACGGUACCUAAUCAGAAAGCCACGGCUAACUACGUG